rnacentral:lncRNA from 1 species
GCACGGUUUGCAAACAAGCUAUUUUUUCAAUUAUAUGGCUCUUUAUCUUUUUAUUUUAAGUUUGGCAACGUAAAAUAAAAUAGUUAAAAUUCUUAUUUUCUCCCGAAAGAUUAUACUCCCUCGAUAUUAUUGCUGUUCGAUUGGAUUUAGUUUUUUAAACUUAUUUUUGAAAAUAAUUUUAUUGCACUCAAAAACUCCACAGCUCACUCGUUGUUAAAUUAUUUACUCAAGCAAUAAAACUUCUCUUCGUUGUAUUUAUCAAAUCACAAAAAUAUGAAAAAGCAAAGCUCAUCAGCUGACUGGCUUUAUCAUCUACAUUUUUGGAGAGCCGCAAAAUAACAAACAAUGGUCUUUUUGAGCAGUCGUACGGAUUAUUUGAAUCAUGAUAAGAAAUGCAGGUGCAUUUUUAUUAUUUGCUGAAUCCUUUCCAAAAUUUUUCAUUCAGUAACUGUAAGUUCUUAUUAUCUAGUGCGUUGGAAUUGUUUUGAUGGGUGCAUCGUUCCAAAAAUACGACUGGAAACCGACACGUAGAGCAUGCCAUCCUGGCGAAAAACAGCUUCACUAAAAUCGUGCUACUGUCUGGCUAUCUCUCGUGGUACAUUUCGUUUCGUCACUAAACCAUUUUAAUAGAACCUGAGACACAUUGGCGCACUACAGAACAAGAUCAUGUCCAAAGAAAAAGAAGCUAUUUGGAGACGCAGCAAAACUUCUGACACUCCAAAUGAUAAUGCUGUAAUUCCUCUAAGGAAAGAAAUGAAGAAAAACUUCAGUCAAGGGUUACCCACACCAGCUCCUAAACUUAGUGCAAAAAAGACUUCUCGUGGAGGAAAAAUCGCCAAUGAUCUUAUAGGACCUGAAUCAACGGCUAAAAAUUGCAGUCGAGGCGGUGGUGACUCAAGCUGGCUACACUCUCAGUUCUGUAAUUUAACGCCAAUCCAGCAAACAUCACGGCGAAGGCUUGUGGAGAUCAAAGUGAUUCAGAAGCAUUUCUUAGUCAGGAUGAAAGUAGUAACAAUCCUGUGAAAUCUAGUCACCUAUUCAGUUCACUCUCUCCUGAAAUCAAUCUUCAGAGGAUGGGGUACUCUGUAAGUGACACCAUUGAUUGGGACAAGAUACAGCUGCCUCCUAAAUCAGAUCUCCACAAGCAAAUUCAUUUUAGGAUAACUAAUUGCAUGUAAGUGUGCUGCGAUUUUUUUUCACUCAGUAUUUUAUAAGUGUACAACUGCGAGUAAGUUGACUUUCAAAUACAUUUGAGUAAUUACUGGUACAUGGAAAAAAUAAAAUUUCCAAGUAUCAUAGUAUAUCUGCUGGUAAUCAAAUCAAUGAGCUUCAUUAAGCAUUUUCCAUAUGACACCCAGAGACUUUCAUGAGGCUUUCAAAAAUUAGCGGAACAGGAUGUCCAGUGAAAGGGAAAGACAGUGAGAGUUAAGAUGAGAAUAUGCAUAACCAAGAUAGUCGCAAACUCCAAUGCAAGAUCUUGAUCUUUUGUAUAACGUAUACAUAACACAUCAAUACUGAGCUCUGCAGCGCUCUCUCUCAGUUCACAGUGAAUUUUACCCUUGGAAAUUUUAGCCUUCACAGACCCGGAACAGGACUUUGCGCUAACCCAUGUUUAUUUGUGUAUUUCUUUUUAUUUGGAAGAAAAGUACAAGGAGAAUCAGAGGAAGUCAGGGAGACAUAAAAUCAAAAUCAAAAACUUUGAAAGUCAGAUAAAAGGGAAAGUAAUUUUUUCUAGACAUUCUAAUGAACCUCUUUUCUCUGUAAAUAUUUGUCGAAACUAUCAUUUCUUUUCUUCUUCUUCAACUAACAGCUGAGACACAGCCCUGUUUGUCAAGCUCUUGAGCACCGAGCACGAAUAAAUCACUAAUGAGUAUAAAAUAUUGGUCAAAAUUAAAAUGAAGAACAGCAAUAGCAACUUUCAAUUAUCUUAAGCAGAAGAGACCAUUUACAUUAUCGAUUUACCGUGGGAACCAUGAGCCAUAGCUUUGAUUUAUUUACCUUGCUCCUGCUUAAAAAUUAUUGAUCACUACAGUUAAUGGUGAAAAUUAUUGUCAUCAUAAUAUGUAACCCUCUUGUCUCCUUAUUUUCCAGUAAUCCAGAUGUUUUAAUUCGAAUAGGGACAAGUGAAUUCCGCUAUCAUAUGCUAGUUUUACAAUCCUACUCUUUCUUUUUUUGAUGAGAAGUCAACAAGGCAGAUUGAACUACCAGAGGUAAGGGAGCAACUGCUUUCUUUCACCAAACUGUUUUGACAAUAUGUUGGCUUCACUGAGAAGGUAUGCAAGAAAAGAUGCACGACUUUAUUUAAGAAUUUUCUCUGAGAUGCUUUUGGAGCACCUAGAUUCCGAGAAUUUCAAGCUGGAACAAGCUUCAAAAAUUAUUUUUUGAAUUUUCAAUGAAUAUUUAUGAUAUAUCUAAAUAUCUUAGAUAUUUAGAAUAUCUAAUCAUAUUGAAAACAGAUCUAUGUAAAGAAGAAAGAGAAAGAGAUAUUGACAUAAUGUUGUAGGUAUGACCCUCAGUUUUUGUGCUCAUCAUUAAGAAAAAAUCCCAUUCAAGAAAAAUUUUCCCAAUUAGAGCUACAUACCUUGUUUUUCGCUACUGUAGUUCAAUCAGAACGUCUUUUAAGUCUGAUUAGACCCAGCGUCAGUGCAUUACAGCCCCCUGUCUUUAUUUUCUGCUUCUAAGCUUGGAAGCGUUGUUCAAACUACACCAAGAAUUGAGCAAGCGGCCACUAAAUCUGUCCCUAAUCUGAGUGUUGCUUCAAACCCAUUUUAGUUUAUUGAAAAAAUUGAACUGGAACAAAUUUAUUCACAAUUUUGGGUUCUAAAGUCACCAAGAAAAGUCAAAAAUUUUAUUUUCAACACUCCUGG